rnacentral:rRNA from 1 species
CCUACGGGUGGCAGCAGUGAGGAAUAUUGGUCAAUGGGCGAGAGCCUGAACCAGCCAAGUCGCGUGAAGGAUGACUGCCCUAUGGGUUGUAAACUUCUUUUAUAUGGGAAUAAAGUGUUCCACGUGUGGGAUUUUGUAUGUACCAUAUGAAUAAGGAUCGGCUAACUCCGUGCCAGCAGCCGCGGUAAUACGGAGGAUCCGAGGGUUAUACGGAUUUAUUGGGUUUAAAGGGGGCGUAGGUGGAUUGUUAAGUCAGUUGUGAAAGUUUGGGGCUCAACCGUAAAAUUGCCGUUGAAACUGGCAGUCUUGAGUACAGUAGAGGUAGGCGGAAUGCGUGGUGUAGCGGUGAAAUGCUUAGAUAUCACGAAGAACUCCGAUUGCGAAGGCAGCUCACUGGACUGCAACUGACACUGAGGCACGAAAGUGUGGGUAUCAAACAGGAUUAGAUACCCUAGUAGUC